rnacentral:tRNA from 2 species
GGAAGUGUGGUCGAGCGGUUUAAGGCAACGGUCUUGAAAACAGGCGAAGGAGUGAUCGUUCCGUGAUUUCGAAUCUCACCGCUUCCG